rnacentral:rRNA from 1 species
CCCUUAGAUGUUCUGGGCCGCACGCGCGCUACACUGAUGCAUUCAACAAGCCUAGCCUUGACCGAGAGGUCCGUGUAAUCUUUGAAACUGCAUCGUGAUGGGGCUAGAUUAUUGCAAUUAUUAAUCUUCAACGAGGAAUGCCUAGUAAGCGUGAUUCAUCAAAUCGCGUUGAUUACGUCCCUGCCCUUUGUACACACCGCCCGUCGCUCCUACCGAUUGAAUGUGUUGGUGAGGAGCUCGGAUUGGCAGCAGUUGGUGGUUCGCCACCGGCUAUUGCUGAGAAGUCCUCCAAACCGCCCCAUUUAGAGGAAGGAGAAGUCGUAACA